CCUGAUCAAGACUCCUCUCUCAACCUCCCAGAGAGUUCCUCCAAGUUGGACCUCACUGUCUGGACCAGUGAUCUGACUCAAGAUAAGGCAGCUGACUCUGUUCCUAUGUAAACAAGUGGCAGUAUGCUCACCUCUCACUGUAUUUAUUGAGCCAAAGAGGGAAAUAUGAGGGAGGGAAAAUCACUGCCAAUUUUCAACAUGGGUGGUCAGCAUCCACACUCUGGAUGACGGGCAACUUACCACAGACAGAACUUGAACUAUGGCAAAAUCCGUUCCAGAGGACCAUUAUUUUUGGUUUCAGGUCAACCCAGUUUAUUAGAUUACUUGCCGCAAACUUGUCAUCAGCUUAGAGAGAAUGUGCAACUUUCUUUGAACCCGGAGGCUUGGGCCCUCGCAGAAGAUGCUUGAGCACCAAGGUGGAACAACCACAAUCCAAACAAGAAUAGGUGUUGGAAGCAGCUUGGGGGCCUUCUGUCUGCCAACUAGGAACACCUACCUCAGGAAGUGGGGGAAAGGACACAGUGGUGUUAUGGGGGUAGGUCAAAAUGAAGAAAAUGUGGACCCACUAAAUCUGCCGCCCUCUCAGCCCCUGAUCCUGUCCCUAGGACAGGAUGAGAUUGAAGACCUGCAGGACAAAGCUAACUUCUUUCAUCCAUUGCCUACAGUACAAUUUGUUUUGAGGUAAGCCUGUUAACUUUUUUUUUGGUGGAAGCCCCGAAAAAAAAUUACAGUACUCUGCCAAAAUACUGAUAGAAAGAAAGAAAAGCAGAGAAGCUUAGGUGUUUGGAAGAUGCCUGACCUCAAGCCAUAUAAAUGUUCAGUAGAGUUUUGGAGUGAAAUUAGUUUUGCAGAAAUAAUCCAUAAACUCGUCAAAUACUUGUUCCACCUGAAUGGAAUGGUGCAUUCUAAAGUUAAGUGAGGUGCCUGCUUAGAAAUAAAAUGAAGAUGGCCAGAAAAUACUACA
rnacentral:lncRNA from 1 species